AUAUAAAUUACCCUCAGCAAGACGACACCAGGGAGAAAUGCUCCCACCAGGCACAGAAAUGGUUCCGGGGGCUAGAGAUUGAGAUGGUCCCCAGCCACUGUGCAGUUCUAAGCACUUCAGGGCCCACAGAACAAAGGGGCUAAUAGGGGGCCCAGGUGACCAUGAGAGAAUGGAGUUGCUGCUGCCCGAGGGAAGAGAGGACUGUCUCCCAUGCCCAGAGGCCCCGUGGGAGUGGUCCUAGCAUGCCUGUCCAGGAUAAAAGCCAAUAGAGGCCCACACAAGCCCCAGGCAGGAGGGACCCCCAAGGGAGCAGCCGCUGAGGAUGGAGAGUCCGAGAGCUGCGGGGCUGAUGGGGAGCCCAGGGGAAGCGUGGAGCAGCGUGUGAAUUCCAGCUGGGGCCCCGGCGCGGGUGCAGGCAUGGCCCUGCGCCGCCUGAUCUGCGUCCUGAUCUUGGAACUGAGCUGGAGAGAGAUGCGGGGCGUGGAAAAGGCCAGGGCAGCCGUCCUCUCCCGACUGGCUUCUGAGUGCGGCUGAGACCGCUGACACUGGUGUCUGGCGUUGCUCCUGAAAUUCUGACUUUGGAAAUCCACCGCACGCCUUUGUGCUUAGAGCAGCGAGCCUGCUUCUGGGUCAGCCUCUGAGCCAGUGUGCUUUACUGUAAGCGUUAGAAACAUGACUUCUAACAUUACAGUUAAAGGAGGAAUGAUAUAUUUCAGUGAAGAAUCCCAGCUCAACGGGGCUCUUCUGAGAACUGCAGAAAACAGCUCUGGACUCCUCCCUCGGAGCACCCGCCCAGCUUCCCUCUCCUGGCGCAAAACCUUGAUGCAAGCGGCGUGUGCCACAGUCCCAGGGUCCUCUGGCUCGUUUGUAAAUCUGUCAGCUGAGGUAGUUUUUUGUUAGUUUGUUUGUAAAUAUGUUAAAAAUAGAUCCUACAAACAGAAAAACAGGACUUCAACUGACUUCUACGUUACCGUUAAAUUUCUUUUCCAAAUGCCUUUAUCUCCUUUUCAUUCUUUUUUAUGCUAUGAGUUAUUUGUUCUCUGAAACAAGGCACAUUGCUGUUUACCUUCGUAUUCGAGUCUUGAUAUAUUUUUCUAAAUAAUCUAACCUUAUGCUUUUCUCCUAUGAUAGUUCAAGUUCUAUUGCCCAAACUAUUUUUCUUUUCAUAGCUAAAUCAUUUGUUGUGAAAUUUCUCACUCUUGGACUCAGGCCUUCCUCAUCUUGCUUAACAUUUUUUGUCUACUGUCAUGAGUAAACAUGAAAUGUGAAAAAGGUUUUAAUAUUUUUAUUCAGAGAUCGCUUCCUCAGACAAAACCGUCUGCGUGCUAGUCAUUUUGAUAAGCGAGUGUCAUCGGCUUUUUCUUCUUUAAAUUUACAUUGAAUAAAAUCUCCAGGCUACCAACAAGUUCAGAACAAGUGCUGAACGUGGGGGACAGCGCGGCCACAGACACCCAGUGAGGGUGAGUCUUGUCUGGCAGAGAAGGGCGAGGCUGGGACGUGGCAGCCGGACUCAGCUUGACCACAAAUCUCUGCCCAGUGAAGGCCGCCAUGCCACUGAAUCCUGGGAAGAAAGCAACACAAACGCCUAAACUGGAAGGAGUAAAGGUGCCCUGCAAGGUAGGUCAAGGCUUCAACGGGUAAAUCUAGGUGGAAAUGGAUCCCAACCAUAGCACGGACCUCACAGGGCAGCAUGUGGGGUUCAGCCCAGCCUCCACCGAUGGGCAGGGACAUGGGGCUCCGGCAGCCCCGGGGCAGAGGAGAAAUGCAGCCAGCCCAGGGCCACGUGCUGGCUGAGCCUGAGAGCACCACGGGGACAGCCUCAGCCAGGCACUGCAGCUUCCGGCAGAGAAGCCCACCGGCACAGGUGGUAAAAAUAAAGACUGAAGAACCAGAAAGAGAAAGUAUUAACAAAAAUGCCAGUGAUCAACAAAGUGGAAAAAUUGAAUUUGUGUUCAAAGUAAUGAUAUUAAAAGGCAUUUGAAAAAUGCAACUGUCAAAAAUAAGUUUAUAAAAUAAAGGACAUAAUAGAAAA
rnacentral:lncRNA from 1 species